rnacentral:rRNA from 1 species
AGGUCUAACCUGNCCAAUGANGAAUUAAAUGGCCGCAGUAUUUUGACUGUGCAAAGGUAGCAUAAUUAUUAGUUUUUUAAUUGAAAGCUUGUAUGAAGGGUUGGACGAGAUAAAAUCUGUCUUUAUUUAAAUUACAAUAGAAUUUAACUUUUAAGUCAAAAGGCUUAAAUGUAUAUAAAAGACGAGAAGACCCUAUAGAUCUUUAUUUAAUUAAUAUUUUGAUAAUUUAAGAUUAUUUUAGUUUAAAGUUUUAAUUAAAUUUUAUUGGGGUAAUAUAGAGAUUAAAUAAAUUCUUUUUAUUUAUUACAUUGAUUUAUGAAUAUAUGAUCCAAUAUUAUUGAUUAUAAGAUUAAGUUACCUUAGGGAUAACAGCGUAAUUUUUUUGGAGAGCUCAUAUCGAUAAAAAAGUUUGCGACCUCGAUGUUGGAUUAAAAAUUAGCUUGGGUGCAGAAGCUCAAGAUUUUGGUCUGUUCGACCAUUAAAUUUUUACAUGAUCUGAGUUCAGACCGGCGUAAGCCAGGUCGGUUUCUAUCUUUAUUUAUCUAAAAUAUUUUAGUACGAAAGGACCAAAUAUUUAAUAUAAUUAUAUUUCUUUUUUGAAUAAUAUU